GUAAGGAAUAUUGGUCAAUGGGCGCAAGCCUGAACCAGCAACGCCGCGUGGAGGAAGAAGGGUUUCGGCUCGUAAACUCCUUUUAGGUGGGACGAGACAGGACGGUACCACCUGAAUAAGUCUCGGCUAACUACGUGCCAGCAGCCGCGGUAAAACGUAGGAGACGAGCGUUAUCCGGAUUUACUGGGCGUAAAGCGCGUGCAGGCGGUUCAAUAAGUCAUAUGUGAAAGCACCUGGCUCAACUGGGUGAGGCCAUGUGAGACUGUUGAACUAGAGAGAGGUAGAGGCCAACGGAAUUCCGGGUGGAGUGGUGAAAUGCGUAGAGAUCCGGAGGAACACCAGUGGCGAAGGCGGUUGGCUGGGCCUACUCUGACGCUCAGACGCGACAGCAUGGGGAGCGAACGGGAUUAGAAACCCGAGUAGUCC
rnacentral:rRNA from 1 species